GCGGGAAUGGCGGAAUUGGCAGACGCACCAGACUUAGGAUCUGGCGCCGCAAGGCGUGGAGGUUCAAGUCCUCUUUCCCGCACCA
rnacentral:tRNA from 1 species